GGGCGUGUGACUCAGUGGUAGAGUGUUCGCUUUGCAUGAAUUCGUCUUCAAAAGCUUGCGAAAAGUCCGGUGUUCGAUCCACCGCUCGUCCA